GUUCUUGUAGUUGAAUAUACAACAAUGGUUUUUCAGGCCAUAGGCCUCGGAUAGGAGCCGAGCAGGAACU
rnacentral:tRNA from 1 species